GCUCCGGCCUCACGAAGCGGAAGCUCCCGAACCGUGUCAGGUCAGGAAUGGAGCAGCACUAAAGGAUGCCUUCCGUAUGUCGUGAGUAAACCGGAGCCUC
rnacentral:SRP_RNA from 1 species